GAUGAACGCUAGCUACAGGCUUAACACAUGCAAGUCGCGGGGCAGCAUGUUGGUUGCUUGCAACCGAUGAUGGCGACCGGCGCACGGGUGAGUAACGCGUAUCCAACCUACCUAUUACCACGGGAUAACCCGGCGAAAGUCGGACUAAUACCGUAUGUAGUCCUCCAAUGGCAUCAGCAGUGGACUAAAGGUUUGGCGGUAAUAGAUGGGGAUGCGUCCGAUUAGCUAGUUGGUGAGGUAAUGGCUCACCAAGGCUUCGAUCGGUAGGGGUUCUGAGAGGAAGGUCCCCCACACUGGAACUGAGACACGGUCCAGACUCCUACGGGAGGCAGAGUGAGGAAUAUUGGUCAAUGGACGAGAGUCUGAACCAGCCAAGUAGCGUGCAGGAUGACUGCCCUAUGGGUUGUAAACUGCUUUUAUGCGGGGAUAAAGUGGGGAACGUGUUCUCUAUUGCAGGUACCGC
rnacentral:rRNA from 1 species